rnacentral:rRNA from 1 species
GCUGGGUUUGAUGGCGACCGGCGCACGGGUGAGUAACGCGUAUCCAACCUGCCCUUUACUCCGGGAUAGUCUCCUGAAAGGGAGUUUAAUACCGGAUGUGUUUGUCUUUCCGCAUGGGAGCGACAAAUAAAGAUUGAUUGGUAAAGGAUGGGGAUGCGUCCCAUUAGCUUGUUGGCGGGGUAACGGCCCACCAAGGCGACGAUGGGUAGGGGUUCUGAGAGGAAGGUCCCCCACAUUGGAACUGAGACACGGUCCAAACUCCUACGGGAGGCAGCAGUGAGGAAUAUUGGUCAAUGGGCGGGAGCCUGAACCAGCCAAGUAGCGUGAAGGAUGACGGCCCUACGGGUUGUAAACUUCUUUUAUAAGGGAAUAAAGUUCGCCACGUGUGGUGUUUUGUAUGUACCUUAUGAAUAAGCAUCGGCUAAUUCCGUGCCAGCAGCCGCGGUAAUACGGAAGAUGCGAGCGUUAUCCGGAUUUAUUGGGUUUAAAGGGAGCGUAGGCGGGCUUUUAAGUCAGCGGUCAAAUGCCACGGCUCAACCGUGGCCAGCCGUUGAAACUGCAAGCCUUGAGUCUGCACAGGGCACAUGGAAUUCGUGGUGUAGCGGUGAAAUGCUUAGAUAUCACGAAGAA